rnacentral:rRNA from 1 species
GAUGAACGCUAGCGGCAGGCCUAAUACAUGCAAGUCGAACGGGAUCCAGAUCAAAGCUUGCUUUGGUUUGGUGAGAGUGGCGCACGGGUGCGUAACGCGUGAGCAACCUACCCUUGUCAGGGGGAUAGCCCGGCGAAAGUCGGAUUAAUACCGCAUGACAUCAUUGAGAGGUAUCUUUCGAUGAUCAAAGAUUUAUCGGACAAGGAUGGGCUCGCGUGACAUUAGCUAGUUGGUAAGGUAACGGCUUACCAAGGCUACGAUGUCUAGGGGCUCUGAGAGGAGAAUCCCCCACACUGGUACUGAGACACGGACCAGACUCCUACGGGAGGCAGCAGUAAGGAAUAUUGGUCAAUGGACGGAAGUCUGAACCAGCCAUGCCGCGUGCAGGAAGACGGCCCUAUGGGUUGUAAACUGCUUUUAUACGGGAACAAACGUCGGUACGUGUACCGGUCUGAGUGUACCGUAAGAAUAAGGAUCGGCUAACUCCGUG